CGGGAACCCGCACAAGCGGUGGAGUAUGUUGUUUAAUUCGAAGAUACACGAAGAACCUUACCAGGUCUUGACAUACCAUUGACAGGCACAGAGAUGUGCUCUCCUUCGGGCAAUGGAUACAGGUGGUGCAUGGUUGUCCGUCACGCUCGUGCCGUGAGAUGUUGGAUUAAGUCCCGCAACGAGCGCAACCCCUAUUGUUAGUUGCCAUCAUUCAGUUGGGCACUCUAGCGAGGCUGCCGGUAAUAAACCGGAGGAAGGUGGGGAUGACGUCAAAUCAUCAUGCCCCUUAUGACCUGGGCUACACACGUGCUACAAUGGUUGGUACAACGAGUUGCGAGUCGGUGACGGCGAGCUAAUCUCUUAAAGCCAAUCUCAGUUCGGAUUGUAGGCUGCAACUCGCCUACAUGAAGUCGGAAUCGCUAGUAAUCGCGGAUCAGCACGCCGCGGUGAAUACGUUCCCGGGCCUU
rnacentral:rRNA from 1 species